rnacentral:rRNA from 1 species
AAGUCGAACGAAGUAGCAAUACUUAGUGGCAGACGGGUGAGUAACAUGUAGGUAUCUGCCCUUUGGCCUGGAAUAACACGAGGAAACUUGUGCUAAUACCGGAUAAGUCUUUACGGAGAAAGCUUUAUGCACCAUUGGAUGAGCCUGCACUUGAUUAGUUUGUUGGUGGGGUAAUGGCCUACCAAGACUGUGAUCAAUAGCUGAUUUGAGAGGAUGAUCAGCCACAUUGGGACUGAGACACGGCCCAAACUCCUACGGGAGGCAGCAGUGGGGAAUCUUGCACAAUGGAGGAAACUCUGAUGCAGCGAUGCCGCGUGAGUGAAGAAGGCCCUUGGGUUGUAAAGCUCUUUCGUCGGGGAAGAAAAUGACUGUACCCGAAUAAGAAGGUCCGGCUAACUUCGUGCCAGCAGCCGCGGUAAUACGAAGGGACCUAGCGUAGUUCGGAAUUACUGGGCUUAAAGAGUUCGUAGGUGGUUGAAAUAGUUGGUGGUGAAAUCCCAGAGCUUAACUCUGGAACUGCCAUCAAAACUUUUCAGCUAGAGUAUGAUAGAGGAAAGCAGAAUUUCUAGUGUAGAGGUGAAAUUCGUAGAUAUUAGAAAGAAUACCAAUUGCGAAGGCAGCUUUCUGGAUCAUUACUGACACUGAGGAACGAAAGCAUGGGUAGCGAAGAGGAUUAGAUACCCUCGUAGUCCAUGCCGUAAACGAUGUGUGUUAGACGUUGGAAAUUUAUUUUCAGUGUCGCAGGGAAACCGAUAAACACACCGCCUGGGGAGUACGACCGCAAGGUUAAAACUCAAAUGAAUUGACGGGGACCCGCACAAGUAGUGGAGCAUGUGGUUUAAUUCGAAGAUACGCGCAGAACCUUACCAACACUUGACAUGUUCGUCGCGACUCUAAGAGAUUAGAGUUUUCGGUUCGGCCGGACGAAACACAGGUGCUGCAUGGCUGUCGUCAGCUCGUGUCGUGAGAUGUUGGGUUAAGUCCCGCAACGAGCGCAACCCUCACUUUUAGUUGCCAUCAUUUAGUUGGGCACUCUGAAAGAACUGCCAGUGAUAAGCUGGAGGAAGGUGGGGAUGACGUCAAGUCCUCAUGGCCCUUACGUGUUGGGCUACACACGUGCUACAAUGGUAUCUACAACAGGAAGCAAGACUGCGAAGUUAAGCAAAUCCCUAAAAGAUACCUCAGUUCGGAUUGCACUCUGCAACUCGAGUGCAUGAAGCUGGAAUUACUAGUAAUCGUGGAUCAGCGUGCCACGGUGAAUGCGUUCCCGGGUCUUGUACACACCGCCCGUCACACCAUGGGAGUUGGUUCUACCUUAAGGCAAGGUUUUAAAC